AACGAACGCUGGCGGCAUGCCUAACACAUGCAAGUCGAACGAUGCCUUCGGGCAUAGUGGCGCACGGGUGCGUAACGCGUGGGAAUCUGCCUUUCGGUUCGGAAUAACUCAGGGAAACUUGAGCUAAUACCGGAUAACGUCGCAAGACCAAAGAUUUAUCACCGAAAGAUGAGCCCGCGUAGGAUUAGCUAGUUGGUGAGGUAAAGGCUCACCAAGGCGACGAUCCUUAGCUGGUCUGAGAGGAUGAUCAGCCACACUGGGACUGAGACCCGGCCCAGACUCCUACGGGAGGCAGCAGUGGGGAAUAUUGGACAAUGGGCGAAAGCCUGAUCCAGCAAGGCCGCGUGAGUGAUGAAGGCCUUAGGGUUGUAAAGCUCUUUUACCCGGGAAGAUAAUGACGGUACCGGGAGAAUAAGCCCCGGCUAACUCCGUG
rnacentral:rRNA from 1 species